UACGAAGGGUGCAAGCGUUAAUCGGAAUUACUGGGCGUAAAGCGUGCGUAGGCGGUUGGUUAAGUCUGUCGUGAAAGCCCUGGGCUCAACCUGGGAAUGGCGAUGGAAACUGGCGAGCUAGAGUGUGAUAGAGGAUGGUGGAAUUCCCGGUGUAGCGGUGAAAUGCGUAGAGAUCGGGAGGAACAUCCGUGGCGAAGGCGGCCAUCUGGAUCAACACUGACGCUGAGGCACGAAAGCGUGGGGAGCAAACAGG
rnacentral:rRNA from 1 species